CCUUUUGUAUAAUGGGUCAACGACUUACAUUCAGUAGCGAGCUUAACCGAAUAGGGGAGGCGUAGGGAAACCGAGUCUUAAUAGGGCGAUGAGUUGCUGGGUGUAGACCCGAAACCGAGUGAUCUAUCCAUGGCCAGGUUGAAGGUGCCGUAACAGGUACUGGAGGACCGAACCCACGCAUGUUGCAAAAUGCGGGGAUGAGCUGUGGAUAGGGGUGAAAGGCUAAACAAACUCGGAGAUAGCUGGUUCU
rnacentral:rRNA from 1 species